CACUGGAGUCCUCUGUGAUGGGAUCGAGAGUUUAAAACACAUAGUGUGGUUUCCAGGGUUUCUUGUGGUUGGUUGUUUUUCCUGGGCAAAUACAAAAGAAAAAUUAGGACGAUGUCCCAGGAGCUCCAAAUAAAAACUAGGAAGCAGCUGGCAGCAGAGGAAAAGCCACAGCAGGGAGACGGAAGUGAAGUCUCCAGGCUGGCUGUGCAGCGUGGCUAGCGGAGGCUGGCUGCGCAGGUAGGGGACGGAAGCUUCGGGAGCCCUCCCUGCAGAAGAGGAGGUGUGUUGGCUCCACAGCUGCCAAAGGGUCCCAGAACGAGGCCCCUCAUGAGUCUGCAAUGGCUGGAGAGCAAGCCUGCUGCAGGACUGAAGCCCUCGGGUUCCUUUAAAGGGAGACGUCCUGGUCCUUGUCCUUGUCCUUGGGGCUGCCUUGUUUCGAGUCAGAAGAGGAGGCCUUGCAGAAUGAGCUGUGCUUGGCUGGAAGGUAAGUGGGUUUCCCAACAUUCUCUACACAAUUAGUACAGAAUGUGGUCUGAGGCAGCGUACUGGAUCUAGAGGCUAAGAAGUCUCACGCCUGAAGCAGAUCUAGGCAUUUAACACGCAGAAUAAGCUAGGUGAGUUUUCAAGGAGCUACUGAAUAUGCAUGAGAGGAAGCAAGAGAGAGAGCAGGAGAAUGAACAUGGGGGAGAUGCACAGAAGCACACAGGCCUGACUGAUCAGGGCAGAGGAGGAAAGAAGGCCUCGGAGAUGGUGGCAUGAAUGUGGUUGGACAGAGACAGGGAGAAGGAUGGGGAGAAUUGAGAAGCAGGAAGAAGAUUCCGAGAGAAAUAAAGAGGCCGAGAGGAGCUGAGCCAGGCAGCCGGUGGAGCAGGCAGAUGGAGCAACAGAGACAGAGAACAGAGCCACAGAGUGGGCACACAGCAAGUCCUGGCAGCCAAGCCCUGUGGGUUUGGUGGGAGCAGAUGCUUCUAUGGGAGCAGCAGCUGAUGGCCCCCAGCACGUGCAGCCUUGUUGACUCCAGGCCCAGCACAGCCUCCUCGGCAGCCAGCCUUAGCCUGGAGGAGCAACCCCGGUCCAGAGAGGCAGACGAAUGGCAGCCCUGCCCCGUGGAGGUUCCAUUCUUCUCCUCCAUCCUCCUCCAGGCUCCACCCACCUGCUCCGUCUGCAUCCCAGGGCCUCGUGAAUCCCAGGGAAGCCAUGAGCUGCCACAUCACGCCCGGAAGGAAGCAGGCUGCGUUGGAGGGCUCCCGCUGAAUGAUGGCCAGUGA
rnacentral:lncRNA from 13 species